AGUGAACGCUGGCGGUAGGCCUAACACAUGCAAGUCGAACGGCAGCACAGUAAGAGCUUGCUCUUACGGGUGGCGAGUGGCGGACGGGUGAGGAAUACAUCGGAAUCUACUUUUUCGUGGGGGAUAACGUAGGGAAACUUACGCUAAUACCGCAUACGACCUACGGGUGAAAGCAGGGGAUCUUCGGACCUUGCGCGAUUGAAUGAGCCGAUGUCGGAUUAGCUAGUGGGCGGGGUAAAGGCCCACCAAGGCGACGAUCCGUAGCUGGUCUGAGAGGAUGAUCAGCCACACUGGAACUGAGACACGGUCCAGACUCCUACGGGAGGCAGCAGUGGGGAAUAUUGGACAAUGGGCGCAAGCCUGAUCCAGCCAUACCGCGUGGGUGAAGAAGGCCUUCGGGUUGUAAAGCCCUUUUGUUGGGAAAGAAAAGCAGCAGGUUAAUACCCCGCUGUUCUGACGGUACCCAAAGAAUAAGCACCGGCUAACUUCGUG
rnacentral:rRNA from 1 species